GCGGAUAUCGAUUAAUGGUAGGUUAUCUGCCUUCCAAGCAGAAGGUACGGGUUCGAUUCCCGUUAUCCGCA
rnacentral:tRNA from 1 species